ACGGCUCAGUAACACGUGGAGAACCUGCCCUAAGGUGGGGGAUAAUCUCGGGAAACUGAGGAUAAUACCCCAUAGAUCUGGGAUGCUGGAACGCUUCCAGGUCGAAAGGCUUGCCGCCUUAGGAUGGCUCUGCGGCGUAUCAGGUCGUAGUGAGUGUAACGGACUCACUAGCCUUCGACGCGUACGGGCGUUGAGAGACGUCGCCCGGAGAUGAACUCUGAGACAUGAGUUCAGGCCCUACGGGGCGCAGCAGGCGCGAAAACUGCACAAUGUGGGAAACCACGAUGCGGGAACACCAAGUGCCAGCACAUAGUGUUGGCUGUUUGCGAGCCUAAAAAGCUCGGAGAGUAAGGGUUGGGUAAGACGGGUGCCAGCCGCCGCGGUAAUACCUGCAGCCCAAGUGGUGGCCGUUAUUAUUGGGCCUAAAGCGUCCGUAGCCGGUUUCGUAGAUGCCUUUGUAAAUCGAACGGCUCAACCGUUCGACUUGAGGGUAGACCGCGAGACUCGGGAUCGGGAGAGGUGCGAGGUACUCGGGGGGUAGAGGUGAAAUUCUGUAAUCCUCCGGGGACACCGGUGGCG
rnacentral:rRNA from 1 species